GAGCCCCUCCAGUCACUAUCUCAAGCAGAUAUUGACAGGUCUGAACCAGGGGGGCGGGCGGGUCAGGGGUUCAAACCCCCCCCCCCCGGGAAAUUUUCAAAACCCCUCCCGAAAUUUUUUUCUGGCUACGGCCCUGGGGCCAUGUAUAAAUAUGUGAUGGGAAGUCCUAGGGAGGAGGGAGCAUAGAAUCAUAGAGUUGGAAGAGACCUCAUGGGCCAUCCAGUCCAACCCCCUGCUAAGAAGCAGGAAAAUCACAUUCAAAGUACCCCUGACAGAUGGCCAUCCAGCCUCUGCUUAAAAGCCUCCAAAGAAGGAGCCUCCACCACAGUCAGAGAGUUCCACUGCUGAACAGCAAUCACAAGCUUGUUUUCUGCUGCCCUGGAGACUAGGAUGCAGAAUAAUAGCUUCAAACUACAGGAAAGGAGAUUCCACCUGAACAUCAGGAAGAACCUCACUGUGAGAGCUGUUAAGCAGUGGAACUCUCUGCCACAGAGAAUGGUGGAUGCUCCUUCUUUUGGAUGACCAUCUGUCAGGAGUGCUUUGAAUGCGAUUUUCCUGCUUCUUGGUUGGACUGGAUGGGCCAUGAGAUCUCUUCCAACUCUAGGAUUCUAUGAGUAUCUUAGAAACCCACUUCUUGAUUUAAAGCUGGCUGAUGUCCGAGCAGGGGAUGGGCCGGAGUGUGAUGUCAGAAAGCUUGACAAGGGCCAUUCCAGUUGAUGGUAUCCUUCCGACCCGAAUGUUUGUGGAAACUAUCUGGAUGAGUGCCCGGAUCCUGUGCCAAGUGCCCCAAAGCCGAGCUCCUGCUUCCUUCAUAGAAUCAUAGACUAGUAUAGUUGGAAGAGACCUCAUGGGCCAUCCAGUCCAACCCCCUGCCAAGUAGCAGGAAAUCGCGUUCAAAGCACCCUUCCUGUGGCCUCUCCGUGGGAUGGAGCUUGGGGGUUCCUUCCCGAGAGCCCACCCCAAGCGACGGUGCGACCUCGAAGGUGUUCGGGUUGGCUUAUGGAAAGACCCCCCCCCCCUGUUUUGGAGGGAGACUAAGCCGCCGGGGUUGCUCCUUCCUUGGCCCUUUGCUUUGGCCUUUGGCGCCCCUCCUCUUGGCUGCCAUGACCUCCCCUGCGCUCCUGGGCUGCCCCGUUUGAUCUCCGGGGAGAAGUGGAGUCUCUUCGUUGGGGAGAGAGGAUUCAAGGGCGGGGGCGUGGCUCAGGGAAGAGCCGGCGAGUAUGUCUCUCCCUCUCCCCCCUCCCCCCCGCCCCAUUGCUUCUCCUGCCUUCCUUUGGGUGCCACCCAGGCGCUGCCCCUUCGCCGCCCCCUUCGCGGGGGACCCUCCUCCGAAGCACCUCCCGGCUGUCUCUCUCUCUCGGAAGCGCAGAGACAAGGAAAAGAGAGAGAGAGGGGUCUCCUGCCUGCGCCAAGCCUUCUCUCCGCCGCUUCCGACAGGAGCCCAGCCAAGAGGAGACACCUGCUGCCAGACUGCAAACAGCUAAUGAGAAAUAGCAGCAGAACAAGCUGGAUGGGAAACUCUGAAGGAGGCAUCUGGCCCAUGCCCAGAGGUUCUCCAUCCCUGCUAUAAU
ensembl:lncRNA